ACACCCGCGGAUGGGGUGACUUUGACAUAAUCAAAGAUCAAGGACUUAACCACAAGACAAAUGUGAUGCCUCAGGUCAAAGGACUACUUUGCAUUAUCCCAACCAUGAGUUCUCAUGUGACAUGAUAUGAGAACUCUUCGUUGAUCGUGUUCAGUGAACUCAUUCUCUAUUGAGCACCUACGUACUUGUCUUGAUGUCACACACACUGAUGCGAAAUAUAUAAGCACACAAAUUAAACCCUCUCUUUUUAUCAAUUGUAGCAAGUAUGUAAGUAGGGAUCGUUCUAGGCCGGGGAUUAGGAGGAGGGAUUGCCAAAUCACUUGAAAACUGACUCAAAACUUAAAAACAAAGUUUAAAACACUAAACUAGACUCAAAGAAUGCAAAACUAAACCUUAAAACACUAAGACAAACCAAAAGACUCAAAACAGCAAACAAACACUCAAAACUGCUUUAAAACCACUUUCUGGGCAGUUUUGAGCACUAGGGAAGAAUUUGGAUGAAAAUUGGUUCUAACUUGACUCAAGA
rnacentral:lncRNA from 1 species